rnacentral:rRNA from 1 species
GUGAUGAAUUUUCCACAAUGGGCGAAAGCCUGACGGAGCAAUGCCGCGUGAAGGAUGAAGGCCUAUGGGUUGUAAACUUCUUUUCUCAGAAAAGAAUUAUGACGGUAUCUGAGGAAUAAGCAUCGGCUAACUCUGUGCCAGCAGCCGCGGUAAGACAGAGGAUGCAAGCGUUAUCCGGAAUGAUUGGGCGUAAAGCGUCUGUAGGUUGUUUAAAAAGUAUUCUGUCAAAGAUUAGGGCUUAACCCUAGAUAGGCAGAAUAAACUUUUAAGCUAGAGUUUGGUAGAGGCAGAGGGAAUUCCCGGUGGAGCGGUGAAAUGCGUAGAUAUCGGGAGGAACACCAAAGGCGAAGGCACUCUGCUGGGCCAAUACUAACACUGAGAGACGAAAGCGAGGGGAGCAAAUGGGAUUAGAAACCCGUGUAGUCC